GAUGAACGCUGGCGGCGUGCCUAAUACAUGCAAGUCGAGCGAACGGACGAGAAGCUUGCUUCUCUGAUGUUAGCGGCGGACGGGUGAGUAACACGUGGAUAACCUACCUAUAAGACUGGGAUAACUUCGGGAAACCGGAGCUAAUACCGGAUAAUAUUUUGAGCCGCAUGGUUCAAAAGUGAAAGACGGUCCUGCUGUCACUUAUAGAUGGAUCCGCGCUGCAUUAGCUAGUUGGUAAGGUAACGGCUUACCAAGGCAACGAUGCAUAGCCGACCUGAGAGGGUGAUCGGCCACACUGGAACUGAGACACGGUCCAGACUCCUACGGGAGGCAGCAGUAGGGAAUCUUCCGCAAUGGGCGAAAGCCUGACGGAGCAACGCCGCGUGAGUGAUGAAGGUCUUCGGAUCGUAAAACUCUGUUAUUAGGGAAGAACAUAUGUGUAAGUAACUGUGCACAUCUUGACGGUACCUAAUCAGAAAGCCACGGCUAACUACGUG
rnacentral:rRNA from 1 species